GAAACACUUGGUGCUUCCUUUGAACUAUUCUGUUUGAACAUGCUGGGUCUCACUUAAGUGCCCAGGCUGAUCUUUUACUUGCUGUGUAGCCCAGGCCUUGAACUUGGACUUCUGCUCCUCUGCUGCAGCCGCUAUUACAGGUCUGGCUCAGUGACUUGCUAACUGAGACUCUCUCACGGUCAGACAGCUUUUUAGGUCAGCACUUGGGAGAAACACAGCGUGUGCAUCAGCUUUUCUCUUGAUAAAGCUAAGCGACAGCAAAGACCUAAGAGUCAGCCGGUGUCACCCAGCUUUAGGACCACAGCUGGGCAGGAAGCAGUGGAGACUACAGCAACCUGGAGCACACAGGCCCGAUCCACAGGGGAAGCUGCCACUUGUCUGUUCCCAGCUCAACGACCAGAUACUCUGCUUUGUCCUGCUAGAAAAGAGCGCUCUCAGUCAGAAUUAUGAUCAGAAAUUUGAUUUUGAAAUGCUGACAAUCUGAAUAGGGAGAAAUAAAAUGUGCCAACUCCAUGUAUACUACUUUCAUAGCUAUUUAUGAUCUUUGCAUGCCAAGGUUGUUGAACCCCAAACCCCAAUAUAUGCGAAGCUUUACAGUCUCUGGUC